rnacentral:rRNA from 1 species
UGGGGAAUAUUGGGCAAUGGGCGGAAGCCUGACCCAGCCAUGCCGCGUGUGUGAAGAAGGCCCUAGGGUUGUAAAGCACUUUAAGCGGAGAAGAAGAUUACGGUGUUAAUAGCGCUGUAUGUGACGUUACCCGCAGAAUAAGCACCGGCUAACUCCGUGCCAGCAGCCGCGGUAAUACGGAGGGUGCGAGCGUUAAUCGGAAUUACUGGGCGUAAAGGGCGCGUAGGCGGUACGUUAAGCGGGAUGUGAAAGCCCAGGGCUCAACCUUGGAAUAGCAUUUCGAACUGUCGUACUAGAGUACAAGAGAGGGUGGUGGAAUUUCCAGUGUAGCGGUGAAAUGCGUAGAGAUUGGAAGGAACAUCAGUGGCGAAGGCGGCCACCUGGCUUGAUACUGACGCUGAGGUGCGAAAGCGUGGGUAGCGAACAGGAUUAGAUACCCCCGUAGUCC